rnacentral:rRNA from 1 species
CUUCUUUUUCCACCGGAGCUUGCUCCACCGGAAAAAGAGGAGUGGCGAACGGGUGAGUAACACGUGGGUAACCUGCCCAUCAGAAGGGGAUAACACUUGGAAACAGGUGCUAAUACCGUAUAACAAUCGAAACCGCAUGGUUUUGAUUUGAAAGGCGCUUUCGGGUGUCGCUGAUGGAUGGACCCGCGGUGCAUUAGCUAGUUGGUGAGGUAACGGCUCACCAAGGCCACGAUGCAUAGCCGACCUGAGAGGGUGAUCGGCCACAUUGGGACUGAGACACGGCCCAAACUCCUACGGGAGGCAGCAGUAGGGAAUCUUCGGCAAUGGACGAAAGUCUGACCGAGCAACGCCGCGUGAGUGAAGAAGGUUUUCGGAUCGUAAAACUCUGUUGUUAGAGAAGAACAAGGAUGAGAGUAACUGUUCAUCCCUUGACGGUAUCUAACCAGAAAGCCACGGCUAACUACGUGCCAGCAGCCGCGGUAAUACGUAGGUGGCAAGCGUUGUCCGGAUUUAUUGGGCGUAAAGCGAGCGCAGGCGGUUUCUUAAGUCUGAUGUGAAAGCCCCCGGCUCAACCGGGGAGGGUCAUUGGAAACUGGGAGACUUGAGUGCAGAAGAGGAGAGUGGAAUUCCAUGUGUAGCGGUGAAAUGCGUAGAUAUAUGGAGGAACACCAGUGGCGAAGGCGGCUCUCUGGUCUGUAACUGACGCUGAGGCUCGAAAGCGUGGGGAGCAAACAGGAUUAGAUAC